UGGGAAUUGUCCUGAAUGACACUGCAACAACAGAUAACAGGCCAUUAUAUAUCUUGCCAUAACCUACAGAAUUGGGUAGGAGAGAGUGUAAACUACAAUGUAAACUUUAAUCCAUUCAGUGCUCCAAAACAUGUGCAAUUGCAAUGAAUGUACCUCACUAAUCAAGGAUGUUGUUAAUGUCGGAAAAUGUAGGAGGUGUGGGGAGUGGGGUAUAUGGGAAUCCCCUAUAUUUUUUAUGUGACAUUUGUAUAAUCUAGAGAAUAUUUUUUUAAUUAAAAAUUUGAAAAUUUAAAAUAAAAGAUUUCCAUUGUGUACUGCAUAGUAUUAAUAAAUUGACAGAUAAAAUAAAGAAAAAAUUCCUUUGGCACAGGUGUAAGUUUUUCUUUAUGGAAGAAUUAGCAGAAACUGUAUUUAUAUUUGACUCAUGUUCUUUAUCAUUUUUAACAGAACUCCUGGGGCCCUUGGACAGAGGUGAAAGGCUAAACGAAGCUUUGCUUGACCUAUCUUCAGCACCCCAAGGGGAAGACAUAUUUCCAGAUGACCUUCCUCCCUCUAGUUCAAUCCCUAGACCCAUUAUUCAACAAAGAGUACCAAAUGGUUCUUCUCAUAGAAGGGGAAGGAAAAGAAGACUGCAUAGAACAGGAAAUCGGAGAUGGAGGUUCUCUCAGAAUGGUUCACUUUGGCUUGGUGUAAACACAAGAAAAAAAUUUCAUAUCUAA
rnacentral:lncRNA from 1 species